rnacentral:rRNA from 1 species
AUUGAACGCUGGCGGCAGGCCUAACACAUGCAAGUCGAACGAGUGGCGGACGGGUGAGUAAUGUCUGGGAAACUGCCCGAUGGCGGGGGAUAACUACUGGAAACGGUAGCUAAUACCGCAUACCAUCGGAUGUGCCCAGAUGGGAUUAGCUAGUAGGUGGGGUAAAGGCUCACCUAGGCGACGAUCCCUAGCUGGUCUGAGAGGAUGACCAGCCACACUGGAACUGAGACACGGUCCAGACUCCUACGGGAGGCAGCAGUGGGGAAUAUUGGACAAUGGGCAAAAGCCUGAUUCAGCCAUGCCGCGUGUAUGAAGAAGGCCUUCGGGUUGUAAAGUACUUUCAGCGGGGAGGCGGUACCCGCAGAAGAAGCACCGGCUAACUCCGUGCCAGCCGCCGCGGUAAUAC